GAUGAACGCUGGCGGCGUGCUUAACACAUGCAAGUCGAACGGAAAGGCCCAAGCUUGCUUGGGUACUCGAGUGGCGAACGGGUGAGUAACACGUGGGUGAUCUGCCCUGCACUUCGGGAUAAGCCUGGGAAACUGGGUCUAAUACCGGAUAGGACCACAUUUUGGAUGGUGUGGUGGAAAGUUUUUCGGUGUGGGAUGAGCUCGCGGCCUAUCAGCUUGUUGGUGGGGUAAUGGCCUACCAAGGCGUCGACGGGUAGCCGGCCUGAGAGGGUGUACGGCCACAUUGGGACUGAGAUACGGCCCAGACUCCUACGGGAGGCAGCAGUGGGGAAUAUUGCACAAUGGGCGCAAGCCUGAUGCAGCGACGCCGCGUGGGGGAUGGCGGCCUUCGGGUUGUAAACUCCUUUCGCUAGGGACGAAGCGCAAGUGACGGUACCUGGAGAAGAAGCACCGGCUAACUACGUG
rnacentral:rRNA from 1 species